GACGAACGCUGGCGGCGUGCUUAACACAUGCAAGUCACGGGGGCCCGCAAGGGCAACCGGCGAACGGGUGCGUAACACGUGAGCAACCUGCCUUUGUGUGGGGGAUAGCCGGGCUAACGCCCGGGUAAUACCGCAUACGGUUCCCGAGGGGAGUCCCUUGGGAAAGAAACCUCCGGGGCACGAAGAGGGGCUCGCGGCCUAUCAGCUAGUUGGUGAGGUAAUGGCCCACCAAGGCGACGACGGGUAGCUGGUCUGAGAGGAUGGCCAGCCACAUUGGGACUGAGAGACGGCCCAGACUCCUACGGAGGCAGCAGUGGGGAAUCUUGCGCAAUGGCCGAAAGGCUGACGCAGCGACG
rnacentral:rRNA from 1 species